rnacentral:rRNA from 1 species
GAUGAACGCUGGCGGCGUGCCUAAUACAUGCCAGUCGAGCGAACAGACGAUGAGCUUGCUCCUCUGACGUUAGCGGCGGACGUGUGAGUAACACGUGUAUCACCUACCUAUAUUUGUGGUAUAACUUCGGGAAACCGGCUCUAAUACCGUAUAAUAUAUUGAUCCGCAUGGUUCAAUAGUGAAAGACGGCUUUUCUGUCACUUAUAGAUGGUUCUGCGCCUCAUUAGAUGGUUGGUAAGGUAACGGGUUACCAAGGCAACCAUGCGUAGCCGACCGGAGAGAGGGGUCGCCCACACUGGAACGUAGCCACGGUCCAGACUCCUACGGGAGGCAGCAGUCGGGUAUCUGACGCAGUGGGCGAAAACAUGACGGAGUGAGGCGGCGUGAGUGAUGGAGGUCUUCGGAUCGUAAAACUCUGUUAUUAGGGAAGAACAAAUGUGGAAGUAAAUAUGCACGGAUUGACGGUACCUAAUAAGAAAGCCACGGCUAACUACGUG